rnacentral:rRNA from 1 species
UAAAGGGCAUCUAGGCGGCCAGACAAGUCUGGGGUGAAAACUUGCGGCUCAACCGCAAGCCUGCCCUGGAAACUGUUUGGCUAGAGUGCUGGAGAGGUGGACGGAACUGCACGAGUAGAGGUGAAAUUCGUAGAUAUGUGCAGGAAUGCCGAUGAUGAAGAUAGUUCACUGGACGGUAACUGACGCUGAAGUGCGAAAGCUGGGGGAGCGAACAGGAUUAGAUACCCUGGUAGUCCCAGCCGUAAACGAUGAUUACUGGGUGUGGGCAUGAAGAGUGUCUGUGCCGAAGCUAAUGCGAUAAGUAAUCCGCCUGGGGAGUACGGCCGCAAGGCUGAAACUCAAAGGAAUUGACGGGGACCCGCACAAGCGGUGGAGCAUGUGGUUUAAUUCGACGCAACGCGAGGAACCUUACCAGAUCUUGACAUCCCACGUAUGCCUACGAGAGUAGGCAGUGCCUUCGGGAACGUGGAGACAGGUGGUGCAUGGCUGUCGUCAGCUCGUGUCGUGA